rnacentral:lncRNA from 1 species
GCUGCCACCACUCGUCACUGAGUCCUCUCGUCUGAGCCUGUCUCUUGAAGCAGUCAGUCAAAAUCAACUGCAAGCAGCCAUCAUCAGUUUGGAAGAAGCUUUGGGAAGCCUUCAAAGAAAAACCUCGGUAUCCACCAAGUCAGGCUCAAGCAGCUCUUCAAGACAGUCCCCCUGAAGAGUACUCCUAUAAGAAAUCAAUAAGAAACCUGUUUAAAAACAUUCCUUUUGUCCUUCUGUUGAUCACUUAUGGUAUCAUGACUGGUGCCUUUUAUUCAGUCUCAACGUUAUUAAAUCAAAUGAUAUUGACAUAUUAUGAGGGAGAAGAAGUCAAUGCUGGAAGGAUUGGGCUAACGCUAGUAGUAGCUGGAAUGGUGGGCUCUAUUCUUUGUGGCUUAUGGCUGGAUUAUACUAAAACAUACAAGUAAGUGAAAGUAAAUACAUGUAUGGUGUAUAACCAAAGGUAUUUUGAUUUUAAAGGACAAUUUGCUUUUUAUUUCAAGAAAUUUAAAACAUGUUAUUACUUAAAGAUACGGAUUCUAAACACUAGUAGGUUCUCUUCACUUAACAAGUGUUUCUUUUUUUUUUUUUUU